UACGUAGGGGGCAAGCGUUGUCCGGAUUUAUUGGGCGUAAAGAGCGUGUAGGCGGCCAGGUAGGUCCGCUGUGAAAACUCGAGGCUCAACCUCGAGAUGUCGGCGGAAACCAUCUGGCCAGAGUCCGGAAGAGGAGUGUGGAAUUCCCGGUGUAGCGGUGAAAUGCGCAGAUAUCGGGAAGAACACCCGUGGCGAAGGCGGCACUCUGGGACGGUACUGACGCUGAGACGCGAAAGCGUGGGGAGCGAACAGG
rnacentral:rRNA from 1 species